ensembl:lncRNA
UUUUUUCGGAUGUUAGGAUCCUGCAAAGGUUGUAACUGCUUUGACCAGCCUCUCAUGGCACCUCCAGACAGGCAACCCACACUCCUUGCUUCAGGGACUGCAGCUCGUAUCACCCAGCUAUCUGACCACAGCAGAGGGGAGCUGCGUUGGCAUAUCUGAGAGAGGUGCAGUGAUGUGGGUCCCAGCAGGGGUUGAGGAAAGGCAGGUAUGAAUGAGUGCCUCUUCCAGAAAGGAAGGAAGUUUCUCCAUCUCUACCCCAAUGGAUCCGUUGAGAGUUCACAUUACCUUCAGCAGUGACCCCCACAAGGCAAUGCGACGGCUGCCCUUUCUCCCCUGCACACAGCUCUGGCCCCCUCACUGCCCUCCCUCCUGUCAGUGGCUGCUCAAGCAGGCACGCAAUGAGCCACCAGCCUGGGGAACUAAAACAUGACAUUUCAGC